ACCUCAGGGUGCGUGCCUAUGGUCCUGGCUACUUGGAGGCUGAGGCAGGAGGAUGGCUUGAGCCCGGGAGCUCUGGGCUGCAGUGCACUGUGCCCAUCAGGUGUCCGUGCUAAAUUCAGCAUCAAGAGGGUGACCUCCCUGGAGCAGGGAACUGCCAGGUUGCCUAAGGAGGGGUGAACCGACCCAGGUCGGAAACGGAGCAGGUCAAAACUCCCAUGCUGAUCCUUUGCACCACCUGCAAAGGAAUAAUUUCUGGGCCAACAAUAAAUACCAGAUACAU
rfam:Pan troglodytes isolate Yerkes chimp pedigree #C0471 (Clint) chromosome 7, whole genome shotgun sequence.